GUGGGAACAGUCUCUUUUGUCUGGGGGGCAGUAAUUAGGAAAGAUGAGGUGACAUUCAACUUUUGUCUUGCAGGAUGCAUGGAUUUUUGUUUGAUGAUGGUGUAGGGAAUGUGUGCCAAGAGAGAUGCAUCGUGAGAAAAGUCAUGGCAGAACCCAUGAGGCAACCUGGAAAUCACUUGGCAUGGCACAGUUAAGUGAAUGAAGAACCUGACAGUAUGCUAUCCCACAUGUUUAAGGACAGAGGACUUUUCCUUAUUAUAAUGAUAGCACAGGUGUCUGGAGAAAUAAGCAAGAUUAUAGAGGAGCUUUCUUAAUUGAUUGAAGCCCUGAAUAAUUUGAAACCAUUUUGAACUACUUGCAUCAUGGACAGCUCAUUAUAAAUGAAGGCAUUAAUUUAUUGGGGACACAUGAGCUUGCUGGAGAACGAGGCACAAGGAGCAGAGCCAAAACCACAAGUUUAUUCCAGCCAAGUCAGACAUCUCUUGGCCAACUGUCAGUCAGGGGAGACUCUGAACACUGCCCAUUUGAGAGAAAUCAGACAUCUCUAGGUCAACUACCAGUCAGGGGAGACUCUGCAAACUGCCCAUUUGAGGUUAGUCCAACUCACUGACUCUAGAACUUAUGACUUAUGUAAUGAUUGUGUGGCCUUAGAGCUGAGUAAUUUUUUUGUUGUUGUUUUUUGUUUUUAGGUCUAUAGCCUUCCUCCAUGAACAGCUUUAGAAUGCAGCAAAUGCCUUAAAGGAGAGGCCUGCUGGGAAUUUAAAGCCCCUCAAAUCUCUAAUUUUGUCAAUUCUAGCCAAUUCUAGCCACCAAAAUGGCUCUACUGUUUCUAUCUCCCUAAAAAGGGCUCUUCUAGAGUUAGACCAUCUAGCUGUGUCCAUAUCAGCAAAGCCUGCAGGAAAUAAACAACUUUAUUUUACUUCAC
rnacentral:lncRNA from 1 species